rnacentral:misc_RNA from 1 species
GAUGAAGAACGUAGCGAAAUGCGAUACGUAAUGUGAAUUGCAAAUUCAGUGAAUCAUCGAGUCUUUGAACGCACAUUGCGCCCCCUGGUAUUCCGGGAGGCAUGCCUGUCCGAGCGUCAUUGCUGCCCUCAAGCACGGCUUGUGUGUUGGGCCCCGUCCUCCGAUCCCGGGGGACGGGCCCGAAAGGCAGCGGCGGCACCGCGCCCGGUCCUCGAGCGUAUGGGGCUUUGUCACCCGCUCUGUAGGCCCGGCCGGCGCUUGCCGAUCAACCCAAAUUUUUUAUCCAGGUUGACCUCGGAUCAGGUAGGGAUACCCGCUGAACUUAAGCAUAUCAAUAAGCGGAGGA